GAUGAACGCUGGCUGCGUGCCUAAUACAUGCAAGUCGAGCGAACGGACGAGAAGCUUGCUUCUCUGAUGUUAGCGGCGGACGGGUGAGUAACACGUGGAUAACCUACCUAUAAGACUGGGAUAACUUCGGGAAACCGGAGCUAAUACCGGAUAAUAUUUUGAACCGCAUGGUUCAAAAGUGAAAGACGGUCUUGCUGUCACUUAUAGAUGGAUCCGCGCUGCAUUAGCUAGUUGGUAAGGUAACGGCUUACCAAGGCAACGAUGCAUAGCCGACCUGAGAGGGUGAUCGGCCACACUGGAACUGAGACACGGUCCAGACUCCUACGGGAGGCAGCAGUAGGGAAUCUUCCGCAAUGGGCGAAAGCCUGACGGAGCAACGCCGCGUGAGUGAUGAAGGUCUUCGGAUCGUAAAACUCUGUUAUUAGGGAAGAACAUAUGUGUAAGUAACUGUGCACAUCUUGACGGUACCUAAUCAGAAAGCCACGGCUAACUACGUGCCAGCAGCCGCGGUAAUACGUAGGUGGCAAGCGUUAUCCGGAAUUAUUGGGCGUAAAGCGCGCGUAGGCGGUUUUUUAAGUCUGAUGUGAAAGCCCACGGCUCAACCGUGGAGGGUCAUUGGAAACUGGAAAACUUGAGUGCAGAAGAGGAAAGUGGAAUUCCAUGUGUAGCGGUGAAAUGCGCAGAGAUAUGGAGGAACACCAGUGGCGAAGGCGACUUUCUGGUCUGUAACUGACGCUGAUGUGCGAAAGCGUGGGGAUCAAACAGGAUUAGAUACCCUGGUAGUCCACGCCGUAAACGAUGAGUGCUAAGUGUUAGGGGGUUUCCGCCCCUUAGUGCUGCAGCUAACGCAUUAAGCACUCCGCCUGGGGAGUACGACCGCAAGGUUGAAACUCAAAGGAAUUGACGGGGACCCGCACAAGCGGUGGAGCAUGUGGUUUAAUUCGAAGCAACGCGAAGAACCUUACCAAAUCUUGACAUCCUUUGACAACUCUAGAGAUAGAGCUUUCCCCUUCGGGGGACAAAGUGACAGGUGGUGCAUGGUUGUCGUCAGCUCGUGUCGUGAGAUGUUGGGUUAAGUCCCGCAACGAGCGCAACCCUUAAGCUUAGUUGCCAUCAUUAAGUUGGGCACUCUAAGUUGACUGCCGGUGACAAACCGGAGGAAGGUGGGGAUGACGUCAAAUCAUCAUGCCCCUUAUGAUUUGGGCUACACACGUGCUACAAUGGACAAUACAAAGGGCAGCGAAACCGCGAGGUCAAGCAAAUCCCAUAAAGUUGUUCUCAGUUCGGAUUGUAGUCUGCAACUCGACUACAUGAAGCUGGAAUCGCUAGUAAUCGUAGAUCAGCAUGCUACGGUGAAUACGUUCCCGGGUCU
rnacentral:rRNA from 1 species